CCUCGCAUCAGCCAUGCUGAAGCUCCUGCUCACCGUGGGCAGAGAGCUACUGGUGCUCAAGUCCUACUGUGCUGCUCUCUCCCAGGAGCUGAGCCAGAUGAGAGAGAGCUCCAUCAGCCUCUUCAGAGACCUGAUGAAGAUGGUGGUGGAGAACCACAAGAGACAGAUGAAGGGCAUUGCACAAGCGAGCCUGCUCCCACUCUUCUUCCACAUGAGUGACCAAGUGUGGAGCGUGGCCAAGGCCGCCCAGGAAGCCCUCAUUGCCGCAGCAGAGCUGCUCAAGAGGAAACAGCUCCAACACCUGGCACAGACACAGCAGACGUGGCAGACUGGAGAGUAUUUGGUGAGGACAACCCCCAAAGCCCAGGGCCCAGGCUGAACGAGGGUUGCCCCAUAUGGCUGGGGUGCUGGGGGGUGGGCUCUGCAGAUGUGCCUCACCUGCCCUGCUGCAGCCCGGGGCUGCAUCCUUGUGCCCUGUCCUCAAAAACAGAACCUCCAAGGGCUCUUCUCUCUGCCCCUCUCCCCUCCCCACACCCAGCAGGAGGGAGGGCUCUCAGCACCCCUGGGACCCCUCUACUUGUGGCUCUGUCUCAGCCUCAGCCCCACAGGGCUCCUGGCUGGGAGGCAGGAAUGGGCUGGGAGGGUGAAGGGGAAUGUGGUUUGUUGGGGGAGGGACUGCUCUGGCCAAGAGGGGAGGGGCAGUGACAUGCUCACACCCUCGUACUCCCUCCAGCUGAAGCAGGACAGGAGGAGGGCUAAAGAGUUCUUGAAUCGGAGCCGGCCGUACCUGAAGAACGAACAGGCCAGCUUGCGAGAGGCAGCCGUGAGGUUCAUUGGGCUUGCUGCGCGGCACCUGAGGGACGCAAGCGAGGUGGAGCUGGCGGAGAUCUGCAGCGCCCUCCAGCCCUUGGAGACGGACAGCGAACCCUCCCUCUGCUGCCUGGCAGCUCAGACCAUUGCGAUCCUGAGCUCUUCGAGGAAGCAGCCAAGAUCACGAUGGAGCUUGCGAGCCCUGUGCUGCUGGCGCAGCUAAACCAGGCAGAGGAGCAGCUCUUCUUGGGGAAAACAGCUCGAUUUUAAUAAAGAGCCCUUCUUGAA